GAGGGUACAGCUCAGUGGUAGAGCACAAUGCUUAGCAUCCACAGGGUCCUGGGUUCAAUCCCCAGUACCUCCA
rnacentral:tRNA from 1 species